rnacentral:rRNA from 1 species
AGUGAAUAGAUACCCGGGUAGUCCACGCCCUAAACGAUGUCUACUAGUUGUUGGAGGAGUGAAAUCCUUUAGUAAACGCAGCUAAACGCGUGAAGUAGACCGCCUGGGGAGUACGGUCGCAAGAUUAAAACUCAAAGGAAUUGACGGGGGCCCGCACAAGCGGUGGAUUAUGUGGAUUAAUUCGAUGCAACGCGAAAAACCUUACCUGGCCUUGACAUGCCACUAACGAAGCAGAGAUGCAUUAGGUGCCCGAAAGGGAAAGUGGACACAGGUGCUGCAUGGCUGUCGUCAGCUCGUGUCGUGGGAUGUUGGGUUAAGUCCCGCAACGAGCGCAACCCUUGCCAAUAAUUGCCAUCAUUUAGUUGGGCACUUUAUUGGGACUGCCGGUGACAAACCGGAGGAAGGUGGGGAUGACGUCAAGUCCUCAUGGCCCUUAUGGCCAGGGCUUCACACGUAAUACAAUGGUCGGUACAGAGGGUUGCCAACCCGCGAGGGGAGCCAAUCCCAGAAAGCCGAUCGUAGUCCGGAUUGUUCUCUGCAACUCGAGA